GUAAGGAAUAUUGGUCAAUGGACGCCAGUCUGAACCAGCAACGCCGCGUGGAGGAGGAAGGUUUUCGGAUCGUAAACUCCUUUGGCCGGGGACGAGCAAGGACGGUACCCGGCGAACAAGUCUCGGCUAACUACGUGCCAGCAGCCGCGGUAAAACGUAGGAGACGAGCGUUAUCCGGAUUUACUGGGCGUAAAGCGCGUGCAGGCGGUUCUGUAAGUCAUGUGUGAAAGCGCCCGGCUCAACUGGGCGAGGCCGCAUGAGACUGGAGGACUAGAGAGGGGUAGAGGCCGACGGAAUUCCGGGUGGAGUGGUGAAAUGCGUAGAGAUCCGGAGGAACACCAGUGGCGAAGGCGGUCGGCUGGGCCUGCUCUGACGCUCAGACGCGAAAGCAUGGGGAGCGAACGGGAUUAGAAACCCGGGUAGUCC
rnacentral:rRNA from 1 species